AAGGGAGGGAGGCGCCUAAGGCAGGGCUGGUGACUGGGGUGAAGUCGUAACAAGGUAGCCGUACCGGAAGGUGCGGCUGGAUCACCUCCUUAUAGGGAGACCUAUUUACAUCUAGACUGAACCAAUACAGAAUUAGGUCAGAUGUAAGUCAUCCCAAGGUCGUUCGAGGAAUAUUGGAAAGCUUUCAAACUAAGUCAGGUUCUGAUUUAAACAACAAAGGGCCAUUAGCUCAGUUGGUUAGAGCGCACGGCUGAUAACCGUGAGGUCACUGGUUCGUGUCCAGUAUGGCCCACUUGAGAAACCUUUAGAAUAAAAUCUAAGGAAAACUCUGGGGAUAUAGCUCAGUUGGUAGAGCGCCUGCUUUGCACGCAGGAAGUCAGGAGUUCGAAUCUCCUUAUCUCCACCAAACUACGAAAGACCAACGAAAGCAAGAGUAAGAGUUUAGCAACUCAUCUAGUCAGGCAAAGAGCCAAAAACUAGAGAGACUGCUAAAUUCUAGCGAAAGCGAGAAUUUAGAAAGAACCUUGAAAACUGCAUAGUAAUAGUAAUAAGAAGCAAGUAGAUCCAAAGUGGAAACACAGAGGUCAAGCUACAAAGGGCUCACGGUGAAUACCUAGGCACACAGAGGCGAAGA
rnacentral:misc_RNA from 1 species